rnacentral:lncRNA from 1 species
AGCUUCGCCGGGGAGCUGCAGAUCCCCUUCCAAGUGAGGCUGGAGAACCCGCACGUCAUUGAGCCCAGCCAGGUGGGAAGGGCGGUGGGGGUGGGGGGGUGGGGGAAGGUGGUGGAAAAUGGGGCCCCGAGAGCUUUUGAGGGAUGGGAACAGCGGAUUCAGCAUUGCGCAGUCGGCGGGGCCGUGUGUCACCGACCGUGUGAACCCUGGCGGCGGUCUGUUGGAGUGUGUGAUAUCUUCCAGGCCCUGCCGCGAAAUAGAGGAGGGCCCUGUAGCGGCCAGGGUUGGAGGGAAAUGCUACCUGGGCGUGUGCUGUGACAUGUGGGGCUGAAAUGCUGGAACACCCUCACCACUGUAAACGCCACCACCACCACCACCACCGCGCCUCUCCACUUUCUUUCUUUGCCGUUCCCACACCUGCCUAGCAGGAUUAGGAGGUCUCAGUUCCGGCUUCUCGCCAAUGCCUAUUUCCAAGAACCGUAAAGAACCCUACCCAAUCCACUCCAACCACCCGUCCUACCCCCCCCUCCAGGUGUGGGUGGGUGUGCUGCCCACCGGCCCCAGCGGUGCCCCCCUGAACUCCACAUACGCCUCCCGCGACUCGGCCACUUACAAGGACGAGUUGGGCAAUGCGCUGGUCAAUGUGGCCCGACUGGUGCCGGACGGCCUGUUGGUGUUCUUCGCCUCGUAUGCCGCCAUGGACAGCGCCAUAAACCACUGGAAGCAAAACGGAGGUGAGGCGACCUAUCGGGGGGGGGGGAGGAGAGGGUAGGGGAGAAGAGGAGCGAGGAAGGAGGGGGAAAGGGGGAUUAGUGUGUGGGUGGGGUUGUGGAGUUGGCCGGGAUAGGUAGGUACCCUAGUGACCCUGUACCGACCCGGGUUCGAAUCCGGCGUGGUGCGGUUCUGAGAGGGAGAUGACGGGCCCUGCGGCCGCCAGCCCAUGUUAUCCCAAUUUAAACACCCCCCAGUCCCUGCCUGCCUGCCUGCCAACAUGCCUUCCACACAUCACCCGGGUUCCCAUUACCCCUGCCCUGCCGGUCGUCGCCACUGUUGCACUCUUCGCCACCCGCCGCCG